rnacentral:rRNA from 1 species
GCCAAACAGCUAGCUUAAUUAUUCAAUAACCUCACAACAUACAUAACACAACAUAAACUUCAACAACAAAAACUAAACCAUUCUUUUACCUUAGUACGGGAGACGGAAAAGGUCCAUCACAAAGCAAUAGAAAAAGUACCGCAAGGGAAAGCUGAAAGAGAAAUGAAAUAACCCAUAUAAGCACAAAAAAGCAGAGACUUAAACUCGUACCUUUUGCAUCAUGAUUUAGCCAGUCACACACAAGCAAAGAGACCUUUAGUUUGAAACCCCGAAACCAGGUGAGCUACCCCGAGACAGCCUAUUUAGGGCCAACCCGUCUCUGUGGCAAAAGAGUGGGAAGAGCUCCGGGUAGAGGUGACAAACCUACCGAACCUGGUGAUAGCUGGUUGCCUAAAAAAUGGAUAGAAGUUCAGCCUCGUACUCCCCAAAUCAAGUAAGUGAACACAAACACAAGCCUAAGAGAAACAUACGAGAGUUAGUUAAAGGGGGUACAGCCCCUCUAACCAAGGACACAACCUUAACAGGAGGAUAAGGAUCAUACUUUUAAAAACCAACCGUUUUAGUGGGCCUAAAAGCAGCCACCUGGACAGAAAGCGUUAAAGCUCAAACGGAGCAAAGUUUAUUAUACUGAUAACCCAUCCUACUCCCCUAAAUAUAUUAGGCCCCUCCAUGCCCACAUGGAAGAGACUAUGCUAAAAUGAGUAACAAGAAGACACGCUCUUCUCCAAGCACAAGUGUAAGCUAGAUCGGACCCACCACUAGCAAUUAACGAACCCAACCCAAGAGGGCAAUGCGAAUACUACAAAAACCAAGAAAAACUCACAACCCUAAUCGUUAACCCUACACUGGAGUGCAAAUCUUUAAAGGAAAGACUAAAAGAAAGGGAAGGAACUCGGCAAACACAAGCCUCGCCUGUUUACCAAAAACAUCGCCUCCUGCCAAGCUCUAAGUAUAGGAGGUCCAGCCUGCCCAGUGACUACACAGUUCAACGGCCGCGGUAUUUUGACCGUGCAAAGGUAGCGCAAUCACUUGUCUUUUAAAUGAAGACCUGUAUGAAUGGCUAAACGAGGGCUUAACUGUCUCCCCCUUCAGGUCAAUGAAAUUGAUCUAUCCGUGCAGAAGCGGGUAUAAAAAUACAAGACGAGAAGACCCUUUGGAGCUUAAGGUACAAACCCACCCACGUCAAACAACUUAACAAAGAGUACAAACUUAGUGAAAACUGGAACUUUACCUUCGGUUGGGGCGACCACGGAGAAAAGAAAAGCCUCCGAGUGGACUGGGAACACUCCCAAAACCAAGAGAGACAUCUCUAAGCCACAGAACAUCUGACCAACUAUGAUCCGGUCGCAAGACCGAUCAACGAACCAAGUUACCCUAGGGAUAACAGCGCAAUCCUCUCCCAGAGUCCAUAUCGACGAGAGGGUUUACGACCUCGAUGUUGGAUCAGGACAUCCUAAUGGUGCAGCCGCUAUUAAGGGUUCGUUUGUUCAACGAUUAAAGUCCUACGUGAUCUGAGUUCAGACCGGAGCAAUCCAGGUCAGUUUCUAUCUGUAAUGCUACUUUUCCUAGUACGAAAGGACCGGAAAAAGGGGGCCCCUACUUAAAGCACGCCCCACUCCUAACUAAUGAAAACAACUUAAUUAGACAAAGGAGGGCCGAACCAACAAGUUCAAGAUUAGAACAU